rnacentral:rRNA from 1 species
GACGUAGGGCGCGAGCGUUGUCCGGAUUUAUUGGGCGUAAAGAGCUCGUAGGCGGCUUGUCGCGUCGACUGUGAAAACCCGCGGCUCAACUGCGGGCCUGCAGUCGAUACGGGCAGGCUAGAGUUCGGCAGGGGAGACUGGAAUUCCUGGUGUAGCGGUGAAAUGCGCAGAUAUCAGGAGGAACACCGGUGGCGAAGGCGGGUCUCUGGGCCGAUACUGACGCUGAGGAGCGAAAGCGUGGGGAGCGAACAGG